GAUGAACGCUGGCGGCGUGCUUAACACAUGCAAGUCGAACGGAAAGGCCCGGCUUUUGUGGCGUGCUCGAGUGGCGCGCGGGUGAGUAUCACGUGGGGAACCGACCCUUAACUGUGGGAGAACUCUAGGAAACUGGGGCUAGAACAGGAUAGGAGCUACUGCGCCAGGGUGGGGGUUGGAGAGUUGCGGCGGUGGGGGAGGGACGAGAGGCUUAUCAGCCUGUUGGUGGGGUAGUGGCUGACUAGGGCUUCGACGGGAAGCCGGCCUGAGAGGGUGACCGGCCACAAUGGGACUGAGAGAAGGCCCAGAAGACUACGGGAGGCAGCAGUGGGGAAGAUUGCACAGCGAGGGGAAGCCGGAUGCAGCAGCGCUGCGUGCGGGAGGAAGGCCUUCGAGGUGUAAACAACUUUCGCCUGUGAAGAAGAGGGAGUGACGGUAACGGGUAAAGAAGCACCGGCUAACUACGUG
rnacentral:rRNA from 1 species